rnacentral:lncRNA from 1 species
AAAACGACAAUCCGUUUCGGUGAGGCUCGAGGAGAAGAGGGACGUCUUUUUCCAGCAAAUCAUCGGGGCCGAACCUGUGAGGUAAAAAAUGAGAUAAAGGAGCAAAUUGCAUGUCUUUAUCGUUACGAUUGUUGAUCGUUUUGUUUUCGUUUUCCUUCUCGGUGGCGGUUAUGAGGAUGUUGACAUCGGCGGCGGCGCGUAGCUCUUGGAGGAACUGGCGACAAUGACCGCAAGGGGCGGCGGAGACGGCGAGGAACUUGAGACAUGGUUCCGCAUUGAGGGAAAGGUUGGUGAUUAAGAAUUGCUCGGCGUGGACGGAAUGGU